rnacentral:lncRNA from 1 species
AGUUGAAAAUAAAUACUUUAAGGCCGUGUUUGGUAAUAGGAUAAUUUCUUCAGGGUUAAAUUUUUUUAUUCCUAGAAUAUUGAGCUAUUCUAGGAUAGAGAGGAAUGAAAGUAAUUUUUUGUUUGGUAAAAUUUUUACUUUUUCUCUGCAAUAGACAAAAUGAUGUUGGGUAACUUUCUUGAAAAAAGAGAAGAAUAAUUAGUAAAGUUGAUUGAAAUAUUUUAAAAUGCCAAGUUUACCCGUAUAUAUACAGUGAAUUUUUUUCUUUGUAUAAUAC